UGGGGAAUAUUGCACAAUGGGCGAAAGCCUGAUGCAGCGACGCCGCGUGAGGGAUGACGGCCUUCGGGUUGUAAACCUCUUUCAGUAGGGACGAAGCGCAAGUGACGGUACCUGCAGAAGAAGCACCGGCUAACUACGUGCCAGCAGCCGCGGUAAUACGUAGGGUGCGAGCGUUGUCCGGAAUUACUGGGCGUAAAGAGCUCGUAGGCGGUUUGUCACGUCGUCUGUGAAAUCCUAGGGCUUAACCCUGGACGUGCAGGCGAUACUGGCUGACUUGAGUACUACAGUGGAGACUGGAAUUUCUGGUGUAGCGGUGGAAUGCACAGAUAUCAGGAAGAACACCGAUGGCGAAGGCAGGUCUCUGGGUAGUAACUGACGCUGAGGAGCGAAAGCAUGGGUAGCGAACAGG
rnacentral:rRNA from 1 species